rnacentral:lncRNA from 1 species
GGCUCAAAAAAUAUGUGGAUAAGAGUGCCAGCGAACCCAGAUAUCGUGUUUUUGUAACCGGGCUGGACAUGGUCGAGAAGAAAGAAGGAAAAUGGAUCCAUGAAUUAAGAGGUUAUGCGCUCAUUGGCACUGUUUGCCAUAAGAGCAAUAUUGGUGAGGGCGAAGGCAUUGCUACUACUUACUCAGGAAUUCAUACAAUGGCCCACGAGCUAUG